rnacentral:rRNA from 1 species
GCCUACGGGGGGCAGCAGUGGGGAAUAUUGGUCAAUGGGCGAAAGCCUGAACCAGCAAUGCCGCGUGAGUGAUGAAGGCCUUCGGGUUGUAAAGCUCUGUCAGGGGGAAAGAAAAAACCGGUUAAUACCCGGUCUUGACGGUACCCCCAAAGGAAGCACCGGCUAACUCUGUGCCAGCAGCCGCGGUAAUACAGAGGGUGCAAGCGUUGUUCGGAAUUACUGGGCGUAAAGCGCAUGUAGGCGGCCUAUUAAGUCAGAUGUGAAAUCCCUUGGCUCAACUGAGGAACUGCAUCUGAUACUGGUAGGCUUGAGUGUCGGAGGGGAUGGUAGAAUUCCUGGUGUAGAGGUGAAAUUCGUAGAUAUCAGGAGGAAUACCUGUGGCGAAGGCGACCAUCUGGAAGACAACUGACGCUGAGAUGCGAAAGCGUGGGUAGCAAACAGGAUUAGAUACCCCGGUAGG